rnacentral:rRNA from 1 species
ACUCCUACGGGAGGCAGCAGUGGGGAAUAUUGCACAAUGGGCGCAAGCCUGAUGCAGCCAUGCCGCGUGUAUGAAGAAGGCCUUCGGGUUGUAAAGUACUUUCAGCAGUGAGGAAGGUGGUAUGUUAAUAGUACAUACUCAUUUGACUGUUAGCUGCAGAAGAAGACAACCGGCUAACUCCGUGCCAGCAGCCGCGGUAAUACGGAGGGUGCGAGCGUUAAUCGGAAUUACUGGGCGUAAAGCGCAUGCAGGUGGUUUGUUAAAGUCAGAUGUGAAAGCCCGGGGCUCAACCUCGGAAUUGCAUUUGAAAACUGGCAAACUAGAGUACUGUAGAGGGGGUGAGAAUUAUCAGGUGUAGCGGUGAAAAUGCGUAGAGAUCUGAAGGAAUACCGGUGGCGAAGGCGGCCCCCUGGACAGAUACUGACACUCAGAUGCGAAAAGCGUGGGGAGCAAAACAGGAUUAGAUACCCUGGUAGGAUAGCGU